rnacentral:tRNA from 4 species
CGGGACGUGGCGCAGUUUGGUAGCGCACCCGCUUUGGGAGCGGGGGGUCGCGGGUUCAAGUCCCGCCGUCCCGACCG